rnacentral:lncRNA from 1 species
AGUGGGAGCAGACAUGUAUAUUCCUUCCUAUAUGUUUUCUUUUAAAGGAGGAGGAAAAUCUCCCCCAGAUGUCUCUCUGGACGUUCCCCCCUUCAGUUUCAUCUUCUGGGACUCAGUCACAUAUUUACCCAGACAAAUCACUAGUAAAGCGAGAUGGAAUGGCUGAGACAGGAUUUGACCUACCACAUUUCAUCCCUAGAGGUUUCUUCACCCAACCUGGGUCUCCAGCACUGCCUCCUGCAUCCAAGUCAGGUGUGCUCUUCUGGAUCCUUCUCUGACCUAUCAUUUUGACAUGGAUUAUUAGAAGUAAAGAAAGCCAUGGCACCUGUGAACCAGAAGGCACAAUUAGACUCAGUAGCGGUCACAAUCUGCAAACGUUCAGGUUCUUACGGAAUCAUUAUUGAGUCGAGCUGGAGCAUCAAGCUUGAACAAGUAUAGACUUUGAGAAAAACAAACACGCUACAGAAAAGCCAUCUGCAAUCAUGAAAUACCGAGGGGAGAUGAAGGAUUCUGAAACAUACUUGGGAAAUAAAUGGACAGCCCGUGGUCCUCCAGAAAUAAUGCCAGACGAUGAGGCUGAUGUGAAGGAGUAUGGAAAUCUCAAAAGCCCUUGAACAACAGGAAAAAAAGCACACGUCAAAUAGCGCGUCACAGUGGAAAUUGCUACUAGAAAAAAAAGAAGCAUUAUGAGCAAGGAUAGACCAUUAGAAGAUCUAUUGUUAUGAUGGAGAACUUGCUUGUAGAGGAAGCGAGCAGAAUACAGAUGUAAAUAUGUAUGAGGAAAUAAACCACAUUAAACCGGAAUACAGUGCAAUUUUAGUUCCACUAAAGAACAUAGUAUACGAUACACCUGGAAGGAAAUAAUA